rnacentral:rRNA from 1 species
GACGAACGCUGGCGGCGUGCCUAAUACAUGCAAGUUGAGCGAUGAAGCUUGGUGCUUGCACCUAUUUGAAGAGCAGCGAACGGGUGAGUAACGCGUGGGGAACCUGCCUUUGAGCGGGGGACAACUUUUGGAAACGAAUGCUAAUACCGCAUAACAUCUUUAAACAUAAGUUUUAAGUUUGAAAGAUGCAAUUGCAUCACUCUAAGAUGAUCCCGCGUUGUAUUAGCUAGUUGGUGAGGUAAGGGCCCACCAAGGCGAUGAUACAUAGCCGACCUGAGAGGGGGAACGGCCAAAUUGGGACUUAGACACGGCCCAAACUCCUACGGGAGGCAGCAGGAGGGAAUCUUCGGCAAUUGACGAAAGUCUGACCGGGCAACGCCGCGGGAGUGAAGAAGGGUUUCGGAUCGUAAAACUCUGUUGGUAGAGAAGAACGUUGGGGGGAGUGGAAAGCUCAUCAAGUGACGGUAACUACCCAGAAAGGGACGGCUAACUACGUG